GACUGCAGGCAACGGAUAUCUCGGCUCUCGCAUCGAUGAAGAACGUAGCGAAAUGCGAUACCUGGUGUGAAUUGCAGAAUCCCGCGAACCAUCGAGUCUUUGAACGCAAGUUGCGCCCGAGGCCACUCGGCCG
rnacentral:rRNA from 1 species